rnacentral:misc_RNA from 1 species
UUAUGAAGCUUUGGCUAGUGAUGUUACUGCCAUUAGAGAUGCUGCAGUUUCCGAGAUCGCCAAGCUCUCUCUUCGUUCCUUCAAUCCUGACCCGCUUCCAGUUCAAUCUACACCAGACACUAGCAAUCGGAAGUCCCAAGAUAAGCAAGAGGCCUAGCCAAUAACAGGAAUUCUUGUUUUUCUAUUGAGCAUGUUGAAAUUUGUUGUGCCUACUCAAAAGUUCUAAGGAUCGGUUACAACGGAUUGGAGUUUUACAUCAUUUGUUACGCUGAUAUAGGAUGAUCAAUUUUACAUAAUACAUUCCCAUUUUGCUGUCCUUUUU